AAAAACUAGAUGCAGGUGACGUUAUACAGAGAAAAGAAAGAUUUUUUGCCCCCCUAAUUAAAUUAUAAACUAAAAAUUAAAAAAUAAAUAUUCAUCAUCACCAAACAGAACUCUGACCUGCCUUCUCAAACCUAGCUAGUUACUGCUUUAACAAGUGUUGGAUAUUUCACUCAACAAUAGGUAUUGGAAAGGUGGUUGCUUUCCUAAAAAUAAAACCUUGUUGACAGAACACAAAAUCGUUUGUGUUCCUAGGAAGUAGGAGAGUCACAAGGACUAUUUAAAUCCCUACAACCUUAGAAAUCAUUUCCUUAGAAUACCCAAGUUGAGACCUUCGUGGCCAACAAUGUUCCAGAGAACCUAGGGGGAUCUUCGAUCAUGACGGAAUCGUGGAUACCACUUUCC
rnacentral:lncRNA from 1 species